UACAGAGGGUGCAAGCGUUGUUCGGAAUCAUUGGGCGUAAAGCGCGCGUAGGCGGCCCUGUAAGUCCGUUGUGAAAGUCAAAGGCUCAACCUUUGAAAGCCGAUGGAUACUGCAGGGCUAGAGUCCGGAAGAGGCGAGUGGAAUUCCUGGUGUAGCGGUGGAAUGCGCAGAUAUCAGGAGGAACACCAAUAGCGAAGGCAGCUCGCUGGGACGGUACUGACGCUAAGGCGCGAAAGCGUGGGGAGCGAACAGG
rnacentral:rRNA from 1 species